rnacentral:tRNA from 1 species
AGCGGGGUGGGGUAGCCAGGUUAACCCGCUGGGCUCAUAAAGCUUCUUGAGAAACCCAGAGAUCGGUGGUUCGAAUCCACUCCCCGCUA